UGCUGGGUCCUCAGGCCUGGAACAGCUUCUUCUUCAGUUUCCAGACCUACGAAAGGUCCAUGACACAUAAAAUCGUUGUGCACAAUAGAUUUAACCUUCAGUUUCUGAAUAAAUGAAGGAGAUUAUAACAGUGCAGACUGGAAUCAACUCAAGGUGAAUAUUUAACAUUUUCAGUCAUCUCAGCCAUUAGGGAUUAUUCCCCAGCCAGCUCUCUAAUGCUUAUCCCCACUUGAAGUUCUCUGCUUUGUCCAGAAUCUUCUUUUCAUCCCCUUUCUUCUAGGAUCCUAACAAUCUCUCAGAGUUUUUAUUCCGUUGAGCAUCGACUUCUCUUUAUGUAUGUCAAUCCUCCCCACCCCAACCCCACCCCUAGUGCCCACAAGUACUUCUGAUAAAUAUUUGCUAUUCAAAUAAUGGAUUGCACUGUGAGAAUGCAGGUUUCACUGAGAGAAACCUUCCAGAAGCACCUGUCAGAUGUGUGUGAUUAUGGGAGUGAUGCAGACAGGUUUGUGGAUAAGAGAAAAACCUUUCUCCUUCCCAAAGAUAUGGAAAACAUUUCCCAGAAGCCACACAGAAUUGAGAUGUCAGAGAUGCAAAAGAGUCUGGGCUGCCUUCUCUCUUGUGUUAGAAAAUCUCAUAAUUCUGCCCCCACCCCCAUUCCCAGCAGACUUUCACAUCUCUUCAGCUAGAAAGAGAAUCACAUAGCCACGCCAAGAACCAUCAGAGCUUAGAGGAUGGAACUAGCCAAUCAUGAUUGGCUAAGAUGUAAGAAGAUUCACUACCUGGGGCAUGGUAUCUGUGAGCUGUAUGGAAGGGUGUGGUUCUCAAUGUCACAGUCCAAGAUUGAACUCCAGGUAUUACAUCCAUUCCCAAGGAGCAGGAAGAGAAAGACCAAAGGGGGGAGGACGGCUCACCCCUUCCCUGUAAGGGCCUGACCUGGGAAGUGCAUGGAACACUUCUGUUGUCUUGAGGAGUGAAUAAAUUAAUAGAGUUUUGAACAGCA